rnacentral:lncRNA from 1 species
UUGUAUCUUGACAGGUGCCAAUCAGACCAGUUCUUAAAGACUCCGCCAGUGCUGCAGGCAAUAUGUGCCAGUGCUUCCUUGUCCUUUUCAAAGCUUCUCUUUAUCCAGAUUGAGGCAUGGGCUAGGUUCUUUAUCUACCUGUCCAGCAACAUAAAAGUGGGGUAGCAUGUUGCAACACUACUGGUGACUUGCAGAAUGUUCUAUGGACAGUACUUCCUCCAGGUCAGGGUGGGGAUGGUGAAAAGCCUGGAGUGCAAAUUCAAAUGGCUGAAAUACAUCUUGUGUCCAGGAUAAACAACAGAGAGGGGACUGUGUCUGAGAGUACUGAAGCUGAUUGUAGUCUUCACCCUGCAACUUAUUGUCAUCCUUCGUAGUGGCCAUGAAGGGUCUCAGAGGCUAUCAAACAAAGCUGCCCAACCUUACACUCAUCCAUCAUCCUUGAGUUAUUAAGAGAGUAGCUGCAGAACAUUUACAAGUGCAUAGGAUGGAUUGCUGGCUGCUUUUCAAGAACACAGUCAGUGCUACAAAAACUUUGCAAGAUGGCAAAUUUUCUCAUGUUUCCUUUUCCUUGCUCUGCUAGGACCUGCUUGAAGGAACAGUUUCUUGAAUUUAGGGUUACUAAUCUAGGUUGAUGCCAAAGCUGUUACUCAUUCAUAUCUAGUACUAGAUUUUAAUUUUAUUUGAAUAAAAUAUUUCAAUUUUGGUGUCUGUGUCUUAAA